rnacentral:lncRNA from 1 species
AAAAAAAUGGGUACAUAGGAUACAUUAGAAGGUCAUAUUGUCAUGGGAGAUAAUUGUUGUGUUGUGGUGAACUAUACAUUGAAAAAUUUGGUUUUGUGAAAGGUGGAGGAUAGAAUUGAGCAAGAAUGCUAUAAGGUUGGUGAUGAUGUUCCUUUGAUUUGCAUCUUUGAGUCACUUAGCCAAAUAUAUCCUACCUUACCAAAGAGCCCACAUUACAACCUUCAAUAAAGACCUUUUUGAUCUUGGUUAUAGGAGCACACAUUUAGUGGUGGAGAGGUGAGACGAUUGACAAGCUUAUGGAUGAGUGCAUGUUUAGCUUGAACUGAGCGUAUACACGUCCUUUUGAUUGAUACAC